UUAUGGGGUAGCGCUGGGGACAGGUGGCCGGGCCAAGGUUCCGGGGGUCCUCCAUGAGAGUCGUGGAUGGGCCCCGCUGUCGGCUG
ensembl:misc_RNA